rnacentral:rRNA from 1 species
AGGACGAACGCUGGCGGCGUGCUUAACACAUGCAAGUCGAGCGGAAAGGCCCUUCGGGGUACUCGAGCGGCGAACGGGUGAGUAACACGUGAGUAAUCUGCCCCUAGCUCUGGGAUAGCUCCGGGAAACCGGGAUUAAUACCAGAUACGACCACUUUAGACAUCUUCUGUGGUGGAAAGAACUUCGGCUAGGGAUGAACUCGCGGCCUAUCAGCUUGUUGGUGAGGUAACGGCUCACCAAGGCGACGACGGGUAGCCGGCCUGAGAGGGCGACCGGCCACACUGGGACUGAGACACGGCCCAGACUCCUACGGGAGGCAGCAGUGGGGAAUAUUGCGCAAUGGGCGAAAGCCUGACGCAGCGACGCCGCGUGGGGGAUGAAGGCCUUCGGUUGUAAACCCUUUCAGCAGGGACGAAGCGAAAGUGACGGUACCUGCAGAAGAAGCGCCGGCUAACUAACGUGCCAGCAGCCGC